UUUUAGCUUCCCACAUGUAAAUCCCAACCAAAAUGUCAUAUGUAAUAAUAAUGAAUAAUAAAAUAAUAUAGGAAGUGAAUAUAUAAAAAGAAAACAAUAAAUAAAAAGCAAGAAAUAAAUAAAAAGCAAACAAAGAAACAAGUAAAACCCUAGAACUAGAGGCUAGGAUGAACUCUCUUUAGGGAAGUAGCGCCCUCAGCAGAGUCACCAGCUGUCACGACUGGGAAAUCA
rnacentral:lncRNA from 1 species